rnacentral:rRNA from 1 species
GACGAAUGCUGGCGGCGUGCCUAAUACAUGCAAGUAGAACGCAGUUGCGAACGGGUGAGUAACGCGUAGGUAACUGCCUCAUAGCGGGGGAUAACUAUUGGAAACGAUAGCUAAUACCGCAUACAGUGAGAUGGACCUGCGUUGUGUUAGCUGGUUGGUGAGGUAAAGGCUCACCAAGGCGACGAUACACAGCCGCCCUGAGAGGGUGAUCCGCCACACUGGGACGUGUACCCGGACCAGACUCCUACGGGAGGCAGCAGUAGGGAUUCUUCGGCAAUGGGCUGAAGUCUGACCGAGCAACGCCGCGUUCGUGAAGAAGGUUUUCGGGUCGUAAAGCUCUGUUGUUAGAGAAACGGUAACUAUCCAGAAAGGGACGGCUAACUACGUGCCAGCAGCCGCGGUAAUUC